rnacentral:rRNA from 1 species
CAUCGGUAUGGGAUGGGGUCGCGUCCUAUCAGCUUGAUGGCGGGGUAACGGCCCACCAUGGCUUCGACGGGUAGCCGGCCUGGGAGGGCGACCGGCCACAUUGGGACUGAGAUACGGCCCAGACUCCUACGGGAGGCAGCAGUGGGGAAUAUUGCACAAUGGGCGCAAGCCUGAUGCAGCGACGCCGCGUGCGGGAUGACGGCCUUCGGGUUGUAAACCGCUUUUGACUGGGAGCAAGCCCUUCGGGGUGAGUGUACCUUUCGAAUAAGCACCGGCUAACUACGUGCCAGCAGCCGCGGUAAUACGUAGGGUGCAAGCGUUAUCCGGAAUUAUUGGGCGUAAAGGGCUCGUAGGCGGUUCGUCGCGUCCGGUGUGAAAGUCCAUCGCUUAACGGUGGAUCCGCGCCGGGUACGGGCGGG